CCUACGGGUGGCAGCAGUCGAGAAUCAUUCACAAUGGGGGAAACCCUGAUGGUGCGACGCCGCGUGGGGGAAUGAAGGUCUUCGGAUUGUAAACCCCUGUCAUGUGGGAGCAAAUUAAAAAGAUAGUACCACAAGAGGAAGAGACGGCUAACUCUGUUCCAGUAGCCGCGGUAAUACAGAGGUCUCAAGCGUUGUUCGGAAUCACUGGGCGUAAAGCGUGCGUAGGCUGUUUCGUAAGUCGUGUGUGAAAGGCGCGGGCUCAACCCGCGGACGGCACAUGAUACUGCGAGACUAGAGUAAGGGAGGGGGAACCGGAAUUCUCGGUGUAGCAGUGAAAUGCGUAGAUAUCGAGAGGAACACUCGUGGCGAAGGCGGGUUCCUGGACAUUAACUGACGCUGAGGCACGAAGGCCAGGGGAGCGAAAGGGAUUAGAUACCCCGGUAGUC
rnacentral:rRNA from 1 species